UACGGAGGGGGCGAGCGUUAUUCGGAAUUAUUGGGCGUAAAGGGCGCGUAGGCGGCGCGAUAAGUCAAAGGUGAAAUCCCUCGGCUCAACUGAGGAACUGCCUUUGAGACUGUCGAGCUUGAGGCCGGGAGGGGGUAGCGGAAUUCCCAGUGUAGCGGUGAAAUGCGUAGAUAUUGGGAGGAACACCAGUGGCGAAGGCGGCUACCUGGACCGGUUCUGACGCUGAUGCGCGAAAGCGUGGGGAGCGAACAGG
rnacentral:rRNA from 1 species